AAAUGAAUAGACGGGGGCCCGCACAAGCGGUGGAGCAUGUGGUUUAAUUCGACGCAACGCGAAGAACCUUACCUAGGUUUGACAUCCCGAGAAUCCUCUUGAAAAAGGGGAGUGCCCUUCGGGGAACUUGGUGACAGGUGCUGCAUGGCUGUCGUCAGCUCGUGCCGUGAGGUGUUGGAUUAAGUUCCGCAACGAGCGCAACCCUUAUCCCUAUUUGCCAUCAUUAAGUUGGGAACUAUAGGGAAACUGCCAGUUUAUGACUGGAGGAAGGUGGGGAUGACGUCAAGUCAGCAUGGCCUUUAUGCCUAGGGCUACACACGUGCUACAAUGGUCGGUACAACGGGUCGCAACACUGCGAAGUGAAGCCAAUCCCUUAAAGCCGGCCCUAGUUCGGAUUGGAGUCUGCAAUUCGACUCCAUGAAGUUGGAAUCGCUAGUAACCGCGGAUCAGCACGCCGUGGUGAAUACGUUCUCGGGCCUUGUACACACCGCCCGU
rnacentral:rRNA from 1 species